AAGUCGUAACAAGGUUUCCGUAGGUGAACCUGCGGAAGGAUCAUUACCAAAUCCAAAUACCCAAACCCCAUGUGAACUAUUGUAUAGUCUGUCUUUGGGAGAAAGACGAAAAAGGGACAAAAUAAAAAUUAUUAUAUAGUUUUCUUUUUGUCCUUUGAAGUUUUUCUCCCAAUAGAGUCCGGCGCAAGCUUUUUUAAUAAAGGUUUACGUCCAGAUUCGAAAACCCCCCUUUAUCAAAACCACUUGAUUUUUUCUGUUGGAAUUUUCUUUUAUUAAAUUUAAAUAAAAGACAACUUUUAACGGUGGAUCUCUUGGCUCGU
rnacentral:misc_RNA from 1 species